rnacentral:tRNA from 1 species
AAAUAUGAAGCAAUAAAGCAUUUAGUUUCGACCUAAAAUUUUGAUUUUAAAUAAUCCAUAUUUA